UGGUCCUGGCCUUACAAUCAAUUUUUACCUAACUUACACAUGCAAGUCUCCACCCCCCUGUGAGAACGCCCUUAAAUCCCUUUAGGGAUCAGGAGCUGGUAUCAGGCUCGAUUUCUCAGCCCACAACACCUAGCCACGCCACACCCACAAGGGUAUACAGCAGUGAUCAACAUUGACCAUAAGCGCAAGCUUGAUUCAGUCAGGGUAAAUAGAGCCGGCAAACCUGGUGCCAGCCGCCGCGGCCACACCACGGGCUCAAAUUGAUUGCGUUCGGCGUAAAGCGUGAUUAAAGUCCCCCCUUAACUGCAGUUAAACUGGACCUAAGACGUAAAACCCUUUGAACCCAGGAAGCACAGAAACGAAAGUUACUGCAAAAUAACCAACUUGACUUCACGACAGUUAAGACACAAACUGGGAUUAGAUACCCCACUAUGCUUAACCGUAAACUUUAACUUACACCCAAAUCGCCUGGGAACUACGAGCAAUGCUUAAAACCCAAAGGACUUGACGGUGCCCCAUUCCACCUAGAGGAGCCUGUCCUGUAAUUGAUAACCCCCGUUUAACCUCACCACUCUUCGCCUGUCAGUCUGUAUACCUCCGUCGUCAGUUUACCACGUGAGCGAUCUCAGUAAGCAAGAAGGCCUUAUUCGCCAAAACGUCAGGUCAAGGUGCAGCUAAUAGAGUGGGAAGAGAUGGGCUACACUCUCUAAUAUAGAAAAUACGAAAAACUACUGAUGAAACUCCAGUUAGAAGGCGGAUUUAGCAGUAAAAUGAGACAAAAGCGCUCAUUUAAACACGGCCCUGGGGUGUGUACACACCGCCCGUCACCCUCUUCGAAACCUAAAGAAUAGUAUAUAACACCCUAUCCCCCAUAAAGAAGAGGCAAGUCGUAACAUGGUAAGCUUACCGGAAGGUGUGCUUGGAAA
rnacentral:ncRNA from 1 species